UACGUAGGUGGCAAGCGUUGUCCGGAUUUACUGGGCGUAAAGGAUGCGUAGGCGGAUUUUUAAGUGAGAUGUGAAAUUCCCGGGCUUAACUUGGGAGCUGCAUUUCAAACUGGAAGUCUAGAGUGCGGGAGAGGAAAGUGGAAUUCCUAGUGUAGCGGUGAAAUGCGUAGAGAUUAGGAAGAACACCAGUGGCGAAGGCGACUUUCUGGACCGUAACUGACGCUGAGGCAUGAAAGCGUGGGUAGCAAACAGG
rnacentral:rRNA from 2 species